rnacentral:misc_RNA from 1 species
UUUCCGUAGGUGAACCUGCGGAAGGAUCACUAAUGAGUUGUCAUGGGGUUCGAUGCUGGCAGCCUGUUUUUGGAUGCAUGUGCUUCCCCUAACAAUCAUCUUCUUCCAAACACCUGUGCACAUUUUUGAGGGAGUCUUGGGUUGGUUGCCGCUCUUGGGUGAUUUUCUCACAUUCCCUUAAAUCAUUAUACGCUAUUAUCAAUGUUGAACGUUCUCUUUGCCGCAAGGCCAUUAAUAUAAUACAACUUUUAACAACGGAUCUCUUGGCUCUC